rnacentral:lncRNA from 1 species
UUGUGUGAGUAGGACAAAGUUGCUAUCACUUAAAGUGAAAAAGAAGGCAAAGGAGCACUAAAUUUUGCCUGCUUUAUCGGGAAGGGAACAUCUUUCCCUGCAUUUACACCAAGCUUGAGUGCAUGAUGGCCCAAAGAAAGAAGGAACUCCUUAUCAACAUCCAACCAAAGUGAGAAUGUAACAGUUGGACAUGGGCAAGAGAAAAGAAGAGGAAAGAAAGGAUUCCUCCGUUUAACUGAUCCGAGACUUUAAGAAAGCGCUCUAGUCGAUUAGUAGUCCAAGAAUUCAUCACUCUGGUCAAGUCUUGUGAACAGAUACAAGAAUAGAUUUGCCUGCAAACAGUAAACUUGAUCAGGAUGAACCAGUUGAAACUCGAAACUAUAUAUGCUUCUGAUGCACUAAAAUCCUAUGAACAGUUUCAGAUAGACAAAGGGGCAAAAGCAUUGCUUCCUGACAUUGCAGUACUCAGAUAUAAAGAAUAGCAGAGUACGGCGACCACAACUCCUUGUGGCCGCAAAUCUACCCUUCACAUCGUCUCUUUUACCCUUUGGAGUCCUCCGUAAAAAUUGACCCAUCCCUGCUGUGAGUUGAGACAAAGAUUCC